rnacentral:rRNA from 1 species
AGUGAACGCUGGCGGUAGGCCUAACACAUGCAAGUCGAACGGCAGCACAGUAAGAGCUUGCUCUUACGGGUGGCGAGUGGCGGACGGGUGAGGAAUACAUCGGAAUCUACUUUUUCGUGGGGGAUAACGUAGGGAAACUUACGCUAAUACCGCAUACGACCUACGGGUGAAAGCAGGGGAUCUUCGGACCUUGCGCGAUUGAAUGAGCCGAUGUCGGAUUAGCUAGUUGGCGGGGUAAAGGCCCACCAAGGCGACGAUCCGUAGCUGGUCUGAGAGGGUGAUCAGCCACACUGGAACUGAGACACGGUCCAGACUCCUAAGGGAGGCAGCAGUGGGGAAUAUUGGACAAUGGGCGCAAGCCUGAUCCAGCCAUACCGCGUGGGUGAAGAAGGCCUUCGGGUUGUAAAGCCCUUUUGUUGGGAAAGAAAAGCAGCAGGUUAAUACCCCGCUGUUCUGACGGUACCCAAAGAAUAAGCACCGGCUAACUUCGUG